rnacentral:misc_RNA from 1 species
AAACUGCGAUAAGUAAUGUGAAUUGCAGAACCGUGAAUCAUCAAAUUCUUUAACGCAAAUGGCACCUGUACAGGUAUGCCUGUUUCAGUAUCAGUAACCUAUACUCACCUACGUUUAUGUACGUGGCGGAGAUGCGGUGUCACUUUUUCUGGAAAAGAAGAAGUGUCCUGUUAAGUGGAGUGGCGCGCGCGGUACAGUCAACCAUUAUGACAAGCACGCAGAGCUAGUGUUGGUAGAAGAUUUUCAUUUUUUCGAUAGAAGAAAGAAAAAUUUUAUUCCCGCUGGUUGAGCUUGGCAUAGAGAUACUGGUACAGUGAGUGUGCGCUGACCGUCGGUCAACAGUCCGAAUUAUUAUUACAUACUCUGAUCUGAAAUCAGGCAAGAACGCCCGCUGAAUUUAA